AGAGUUUGAUCCUGGCUCAGGACGAACGCUGGCGGCGUGCUUAACACAUGCAAGUCGACGGAAAGGCCCUGCUUUUGUGGGGUGCUCGAGUGGCGAACGGGUGAGUAACACGUGAGUAACCUGCCCUUGACUUUGGGAUAACUUCAGGAAACUGGGGCUAAUACCGGAUAGGAGCUCCUGCUGCAUGGUGGGGGUUGGAAAGUUUCGGCGGUUGGGGAUGGACUCGCGGCUUAUCAGCUUGUUGGUGGGGUAGUGGCUUACCAAGGCUUUGACGGGUAGCCGGCCUGAGAGGGUGACCGGCCACAUUGGGACUGAGAUACGGCCCAGACUCCUACGGGGGGCAGCAGUGGGGAAUAUUGCACAAUGGGCGGAAGCCUGAUGCAGCAACGCCGCGUGCGGGAUGACGGCCUUCGGGUUGUAAACCGCUUUCGCCUGUGACGAAGCGUGAGUGACGGUAAUGGGUAAAGAAGCACCGGCUAACUACGUG
rnacentral:rRNA from 1 species